CGAGUAGAUUUGAGCCAAGGAUGACUUGCCGACAUGAAAAGCAAGAUUUCAUAUUUGCUUGUUGUCGUGAGUUGUCGUUGGCUCAUGUUUGCUCC
rfam:Lupinus angustifolius cultivar Tanjil contig_17001, whole genome shotgun sequence.